AACGAACGCUGGCGGCAGGCUUAACACAUGCAAGUCGAACGCGUCCUUCGGGGUGAGUGGCAGACGGGUGAGUAACGCGUGGGAACGUGCCCUUCAGUUCGGGAUAACCCAGGGAAACUUGGGCUAAUACCGGAUACGUGCGAGAGCAGAAAGAUUUAUCGCUGAAGGAUCGGCCCGCGUCUGAUUAGCUAGUUGGUGGGGUAACGGCCUACCAAGCCUACGAUCCGUAGCUGAUCUGAGAGGAUGAUCAGCCACACUGGGACUGAGACACGGCCCAGACUCUUACGGGAGGCAGCAGUGGGGAAUCUUGGACAAUGGGCGAAAGCCUGAUCCAGCCAUGCCGCGUGAGUGAAGAAGGCCUUAGGGUUGUAAAGCUCUUUUGCCAGGGACGAUAAUGACGGUACCUGGAGAAUAAGCCCCGGCAAACUUCGUGCCAGCCGCCGCCGUAA
rnacentral:rRNA from 1 species